GAUCCUGGCUCAGGACGAACGCUGGCGGCGCGCCUAACACAUGCAAGUCGAACGGAGCUUAAAGAGCUUGCUUUUUAAGCUUAGUGGCGAACGGGUGAGUAACGCGUGAGUAACCUGCCCUGGAGUGGGGGACAACAGUUGGAAACGACUGCUAAUACCGCAUAAGCCCACGGAUCUGCAUGGAUCUGCGGGAAAAGGAUUUAUUCGCUUCAGGAUGGACUCGCGUCCAAUUAGCUAGUUGGUGAGG
rnacentral:rRNA from 1 species